AUGUGGUCCGUACUAUACAAACAAUUGGCUCAUACCAUCGACAGGACUAGUGUUUAUUUACAGAGGGGAAGAGCCUUCACAGGACCAGGGGUUGGAGGGAUGGAAGCAAGGGGAGAGCCUUCACAGGACCAGGGGUUGGAGGGAUGGAAGCAAGGGGAGAGCCUGCACAGGACCAGGGGUGGAGGGAUGGAAGCAAGGGGAGAGCCUUCACAGGACCAGGGGUUGGAGGGAUGGAAGCAAGGGGAGAGCCUUCACAGGACCAGGGUUGGAGGGAUGGAAGCAAGGGGAGAGUCUAAGGUUAGCGUUGCCAGAAUGCAUUUACACUAAGGGGAUAGAUACAGCGAAGAGCUAACUCUGUCCUUCCUCCCUGCUUCUGAAGUGGUAUCUCCUCUGUGACAUGGAGGGAUGUGCUUGGCUCUGUUGACCUCUAACCUGGGUCAGUGCAUUAGAGGACGUUUCGGGGUGGACUAGGAGGGAGGGUCAACAGUGGGGCCUGUGUACAUUCAGUGAGUAGAGCCAAGGUCAUUGCCCGUCCCCGUCCCCGUCAAUCUAAUUGUACAAACCCAGACGUCGUACCACUCAGCCCACCCCUCUCCACUCCCCCUUGAACCCAGCCUGCAAGCUGCCUCUUCAUGCAGUGGUGUCCAGCUAGUUGCCGGACAGGCGGAUGGACUAGUGGCAAAGAAAAGACUUCAUACUUAUCUUAUACUACUGAGUCAUCAAAAAACACUUCCCACGUUAAGAAAUAUAGUCAUCAGCACUUCAGGGUACGUAGCAAGGGAUGAACACUCAAUCUAGACUCUAGCGGCCUAAGAAGUGUCUAACUCCUAAGCACGCCGUGAAAGAUCUCUACUUUGAAGUUAUUUUUACCCUACGUCUCAUCUUUAUCUUUAUAGUAUGAACAGUGCAUCUCUAUGGUCUGGCUCUCAAAGUGGGACAGCCAGUGAGGGGAGGGCACAUCAUCUGGUUGAGGAGGGGAUAGAGGUGCAUGGGUGGACAGCAGGAGGGUCUCUAUACCCAUCUGGGUAGUUUUAAAAGGGGAGCAGCGCCUACUAUGCCAACAAGCCAGAAAAUAGGGCUGAUAGUACUAUAACAUGCCCCUCCUCCUCGGUACUAGUUUUCUAAUAGGGUUCAUGCUCAGGUCAUAAAAACAGUGAAAGAUUCAAAUCUUACCAUUUAACUACGCUUACAAAAUAAUAUUUAUAGUUUUUAGAUACCACAUCAGGUAAACGCUACGAGGGCAUUUGUCGACCUGUAUUUUUUUAAGGUGGUCGUCCUCGUUGCAACACUAAUUCAAUGCAUAGUUGAAUCUUCUGGAAGGUCGGUGGUUUGAACACAUAGGGACAUGCAGAUCGGAAUACUACUGUACCAGUACAAUGGAAUGCCCAUUUCCGUGUCCCAAAGAGCUGUGGUGUAGGAUCCUAUAAGGCUGAUCCUAUAUAGGAAUCUUAUCAUGGCAAUCUACUAUAGUCAAACAAGGAUCUACUUUCAGUCUCAGGAAAAUAAGGAAUUAUAAUUAUAAUCCAACAUGAAACAUUUUAUGGAACAUCGUUAAAAUAUCCACCUGUGAAUACAUCACUGGGCAAAUCCUUGUUAUCUGAGCAAAGUUGUUUACACUCAAUCUGUUGUGUCUGAAGUGCAUCCAAAUGUAUUGAUUUAACCAAAACACAAUCCCCCCUGAACCCCCAGUCUUCCGUGUCUGCAAAUACUGUUAAUACUUGUUUCGUUUUUUUCGAAAAUAAACUUUCCAAAAAAAACAACUGUUUCUAGAUAGCUUUCAGAAAGAAAACAAAAACAACUGUUUCUAGAUAGCUUUCAGAAAGAAAACAAAAAACACGGUUUUAGAUAGCUUUCAGAAAGAAAAACAAAAACAAACUGUUUCUAGUAGCUUUCAGAAAGAAAACAAAAACAACUGUUUCUAGAUAGCUUUCAGAGAAAACAAAAACAACUGUUUCUAGAUAGCUUUCAGAAAGAAAAACAAAAAAACAACUGUUUCUAUAUGCUUUCAGAAAGAAAACACAAACAACUGUUUCUAGAUAGCUUUCAGAAAGAAAAGAAAACAAAAAUGUCAACGCUGUUCGCUCUUAAACCUUCAACACAUUCCAGUCAAGAGCCCAAAGACAACAUUCGCAAACAUCUCCAUAUUUCGUGUUAUCAUAUGAGCGUGACCAAUACAAUCCAGACCCUGGUUAGAGUAAACGCAUUGAGAGGAGACGUAGGGGGUGGGUGGGUGGGGGGUAUUUCAGUCCUCAUCGGGUCGGUUUUCUCUUUUCUCAUCGUAUUUUCCAUAU
rnacentral:lncRNA from 1 species